rnacentral:rRNA from 1 species
AUGGCACGGGGAGGAGCUCACGUCGUCGCGGCGGCGGCUCUGCUGCUCCUGCUGCUCCUCGCGGCAGGCGGCGGCGGCGUGCAUUGCCUGAGGUCAAGGGCGGUGAGCGGCGCCACGGUCCUGGAGCUGCGGCACCACGCCAGCUUCGGCCCAGGCGGCAGGAGCAGCAGGGCGGAGGAGGCCCGCGGCGUCCUGGCCUCCGACGCCGCCAGGGUCUCGUCGCUGCAGCGGCGCAUCGGCAGCUACGGGCUGAUCAGGUCGUCGGACGCGGCGUCCAAGCUGGCGCAGGUCCCCGUCACCUCCGGCGCCAUGCUCCGGACGCUCAACUACGUCGCCACCAUGGGCAUCGGCGGCGGCGAGGCCACGGUGAUCGUGGACACGGCGAGCGAGCUCACCUGGGUGCAGUGCAAGCCGUGCGACGCCUGCCACGACCAGCAGGAGCCGCUCUUCGACCCGUCGGCGUCGCCGUCCUACGCCGCCGUGCCGUGCAACUCCUCCUCCUGCGACGCGCUGCGGGUGGCCACCGGGAUGUCCGGCCAGGCCUGCGACCAGCCCGCGACCUGCAGCUACGCCCUCAGCUACCGCGACGGGUCCUACUCCCGCGGCGUGCUGGCGCACGACAAGCUGAGCCUGGCCGGCGAGAACAUCGAGGGCUUCGUGUUCGGCUGCGGCACCAGCAACCAGGGCCCGUUCGGCGGCACGUCCGGGCUGAUGGGGCUCGGCCGGAGCCAGCUCUCGCUCAUAUCCCAAACCAUGGAGCAGUUCGGCGGCGUGUUCUCCUACUGCCUGCCGCCGAAGGAGUCCGGCUCGUCGGGGUCCCUCGUCCUCGGCGACGACUCCUCGGUGUACCGGAACUCCACCCCGAUCGUGUACACCGCGAUGGUCUCCGACCCGCUGCAGGGGCCCUUCUACAUGGUCAACCUGACCGGGAUCACCGUGGGCGGCGAGGAGGUGCAGUCCCCGGGGUUCUCGGCCGGCGGCGGCGGCAGGGCCAUCGUCGACUCCGGCACGAUCAUCACGAGCCUGGUGCCGUCCGUGUACGCGGCGGUGCGGGCCGAGUUCCUGAGCCAGCUGGCGGAGUACCCGCAGGCGCCGCCCUUCUCCAUCCUGGACACCUGCUUCGACCUGACGGGGCUGAGGGAGGUGCAGGUGCCGAGCCUGAAGCUGGCGUUCGACGGCGGCGCGGAGGUGGAGGUGGACUCCAAGGGCGUGCUCUACGUAGUCAGCGGCGACGCCUCCCAGGUGUGCCUAGCGCUGGCCGCCCUCAGGUCCGAGGACGACACCCCGAUCAUCGGCAACUACCAGCAGAAGAACCUGAGGGUGAUUUUCGACACCGCGGGGUCUCAGAUCGGGUUCGCGCAAGAGACUUGUGAUUACAUUUGA